rnacentral:pre_miRNA from 1 species
AAUAAGAUCAUUUUUCAGUUUUUUUAUACAACGUUCUGAUUCUUUGUCUUAUUUAAAAAUUUUUUGUGAUUAAUAUUUUUAUUCUUACUAGAUGAUAAAACACGAAUAGUACUUUAUCCGUGACUAAUUUUUUAAAUUUUUUUAUAAAUUUUUUAAAUAAAACGAAUGGUCAAACGUUGGACACGGAAAA